rnacentral:rRNA from 1 species
GUUGAUUUUAUGCUUGCAUAAAUGAUUUUUUGGAUUCGGAGCGAGUGGCGAACUGGUGAGUAACACGUGGGUAACCUGCCCCGAAGCGGGGGAUAACAUUUGGAAACAAGUGCUAAUACCGCAUAAUUAGUUGGAACCGCAUGGUUCCAACUUGAAAGAUGGCUCUACUAUCACUUUGGGAUGGACCCGCGCCGUAUUAGUUAGUUGGUGAGAUAAAAGCCCACCAAGACGAUGAUACGUAGCCGACCUGAGAGGGUAAUCGGCCACAUUGGGACUGAGACACGGCCCAGACUCCUACGGGAGGCAGCAGUAGGGAAUCUUCCACAAUGGACGAAAGUCUGAUGGAGCAACGCCGCGUGAGUGAUGAAGGUUUUCGGAUCGUAAAACUCUGUUGUUAAAGAAGAACAAGUGUUAGAGUAACUGUUAACACUUUGACGGUAUUUAACCAGAAAGCCACGGCUAACUACGUGCCAGCAGCCGCGGUAAUACGUAGGUGGCAAGCGUUGUCCGGAUUUAUUGGGCGUAAAGCGAGCGCAGGCGGUUUUGUAAGUCUGCCGUGAAAGCCCUCAGCUCAACUGAGGAAGUGCAGUGGAAACUACAAAACUUGAGUACAGAAGAGGAAAGUGGAACUCCAUGUGUAGCGGUGAAAUGCGUAGAUAUAUGGAAGAACACCGGUGGCGAAGGCGGCUUUCUGGUCUGUUACUGACGCUGAGGCUCGAAAGCAUGGGUAGCGAACAGGAUUAGAUACCCUGGUAGUCCAUGCCGUAAACGAUGAAUACUAGGUGUUGGAGGGUUUCCGCCCUUCAGUGCCGCAGCUAACGCAUUAAGUAUUCCGCCUGGGGAGUACGACCGCAAGGUUGAAACUCAAAGGAAUUGACGGGGGCCCGCACAAGUGGUGGAGCAUGUGGUUUAAUUCGAUGCUACGCGAAGAACCUUACCAGCUCUUGACAUCUUCUGCCAACCCAAGAGAUUGGGCGUUCCCUUCGGGGACAGAAUGACAGGUGGUGCAUGGUUGUCGUCAGCUCGUGUCGUGAGAUGUUGGGUUAAGUCCCGCAACGGGCGCAACCCUUAUUAUUAGUUGCCAGCAUUUAGUUGGGCACUCUAGUGAGACUGCCGGUGAUAAA